AUUGAACGCUGGCGGCAGGCCUAACACAUGCAAGUCGAGCGGAUGAAGGGAGCUUGCUCCUGGAUUCAGCGGCGGACGGGUGAGUAAUGCCUAGGAAUCUGCCUGGUAGUGGGGGAUAACGUCCGGAAACGGGCGCUAAUACCGCAUACGUCCUGAGGGAGAAAGUGGGGGAUCUUCGGACCCCACGCUAUCAGAUGAGCCUAGGUCGGAUUAGCUAGUUGGUGGGGUAAAGGCCUACCAAGGCGACGAUCCGUAACUGGUCUGAGAGGAUGAUCAGUCACACUGGAACUGAGACACGGUCCAGACUCCUACGGGAGGCAGCAGUGGGGAAUAUUGGACAAUGGGCGAAAGCCUGAUCGAGCCAUGCCGCGUGUGUGAAGAAGGUCUUCGGAUUGUAAAGCACUUUAAGUUGGGAGGAAGGGCAGUAAGUUAAUACCUUGCUGUUUUGACGUUACCAACAGAAUAAGCACCGGCUAACUUCGUG
rnacentral:rRNA from 1 species